rnacentral:rRNA from 2 species
AGGGUUCGAUUCUGGCUCAGGAUGAACGCUGGCGGCGUGCUUAACACAUGCAAGUCGAACGGGAUCCAUCAGGCUUUGCUUGGUGGUGAGAGUGGCGAACGGGUGAGUAAUGCGUGACCGACCUGCCCCAUACACCGGAAUAGCUCCUGGAAACGGGUGGUAAUGCCGGAUGCUCCGACUCCUCGCAUGGGGUGUCGGGAAAGAUUUCAUCGGUAUGGGAUGGGGUCGCGUCCUAUCAGGUAGUCGGCGGGGUAACGGCCCACCGAGCCUACGACGGGUAGCCGGCCUGAGAGGGCGACCGGCCACAUUGGGACUGAGAUACGGCCCAGACUCCUACGGGAGGCAGCAGUGGGGAAUAUUGCACAAUGGGCGCAAGCCUGAUGCAGCGACGCCGCGUGCGGGAUGACGGCCUUCGGGUUGUAAACCGCUUUUGAUCGGGAGCAAGCCUUCGGGUGAGUGUACCUUUCGAAUAAGCACCGGCUAACUACGUGCCAGCAGCCGCGGUAAUACGUAGGGUGCAAGCGUUAUCCGGAAUUAUUGGGCGUAAAGGGCUCGUAGGCGGUUCGUCGCGUCCGGUGUGAAAGUCCAUCGCUUAACGGUGGAUCUGCGCCGGGUACGGGCGGGCUGGAGUGCGGUAGGGGAGACUGGAAUUCCCGGUGUAACGGUGGAAUGUGUAGAUAUCGGGAAGAACACCAAUGGCGAAGGCAGGUCUCUGGGCCGUUACUGACGCUGAGGAGCGAAAGCGUGGGGAGCGAACAGGAUUAGAUACCCUGGUAGUCCACGCCGUAAACGGUGGAUGCUGGAUGUGGGGCCCGUUCCACGGGUUCCGUGUCGGAGCUAACGCGUUAAGCAUCCCGCCUGGGGAGUACGGCCGCAAGGCUAAAACUCAAAGAAAUUGACGGGGGCCCGCACAAGCGGCGGAGCAUGCGGAUUAAUUCGAUGCAACGCGAAGAACCUUACCUGGGCUUGACAUGUUCCCGACAGCCGUAGAGAUAUGGCCUCCCUUCGGGGCGGGUUCACAGGUGGUGCAUGGUCGUCGUCAGCUCGUGUCGUGAGAUGUUGGGUUAAGUCCCGCAACGAGCGCAACCCUCGCCCUGUGUUGCCAGCACGUCAUGGUGGGAACUCACGGGGGGACCGCCGGGGUCAACUCGGAGGAAGGUGGGGAUGACGUCAGAUCAUCAUGCCCCUUACGUCCAGGGCUUCACGCAUGCUACAAUGGCCGGUACAACGGGAUGCGACACGGCGACGUGGAGCGGAUCCCUGAAAACCGGUCUCAGUUCGGAUUGGAGUCUGCAACCCGACUCCAUGAAGGCGGAGUCGCUAGUAAUCGCGGAUCAGCAACGCCGCGGUGAAUGCGUUCCCGGGCCUUGUACACACCGCCCGUCAAGUCAUGAAAGUGGGUAGCACCCGAAGCCGGUGGCCUAACCCUUUGUGGAUGGAGCCGUCUAAGGUGAGACUCGUGAUUGGGACUAAGUCGUAACAAGGUAGCCGUACCGGAAGGUGCGGCUG